GUCUACAUUACCUUUACUGCAUUUUUUCUUUGGUUUUUCUUCAGUCUCAGUAUGUUAGUCACCGAAAAAAGUUCUUUAAAGUUUAGGUUUAUCGACUAAAUCUUGUUCGCCAUAUUUGUUAUUGUUAUUGCAACGUAAGCAGUUUAGCGGGUGAGUUCGGGCGAAAAGCAGGUGAGUUCGGCAAAAAGCAGGUGAGCUCGACGACAAGCUCACCUGCUCUAAACCAAUCAGAAAGCCGCUUUUAACACAGGUAUGGG
rnacentral:lncRNA from 1 species